UUCACCAUUCACGUUUGUUGCAUCUUCUUAAUUAAAAAAUUCACAUGUUCAUAAUGAAACAAGAAUCACAAUCCAAUUCAAAAUUGAAGCUCCAUCAACGUCACUGCAACCUUGUUCAUCUUGAUUUCAACAUCACCUUCAACGAAUCGGAAGGUGCAACAUUGAAAUGCAUUCGAUUUGCAUUGUCACGGUGAAUUGAGAAGAGCACAGGGAUCUUAUGGAUUGCGCUACAUAGAUAAUUGAAGAAGGAUACAUAAGAGUACUUACCGAUGCGUUGACUCUCCGGUGUUAACAAGUUUUGCAUUUGGCAUGGACACUUGAGGAUCAAGACUUGAAGACUUGAGGACUCUGGGGAAAAUGGUUGACUUUGGUCAACUAGUUGACCAAAAAGUCAAUAGUUGACCAAAGUCAAUUGUAGAUUAGAAACUAGAGUUUUGCAUUGUUAGAUAUAAAUGUAAUGAGUUAAUGAAAUGUAUGUAAAAGUGGUUUUGAAUGAAUAAUGACUUGGUUUAAAUGAAACAAAUGGUUUAUGUGA